UACGUAGGCGCAAGCGUUGUCCGGAAUUAUUGGGCGUAAAGAGCUCGUAGGCGGUGUGUCGCGUCGGAUGUGAAAGCCCGGGGCUUAACCCCGGGUCUGCAUUCGAUACGGGCAGACUGGAGUGUGGUAGGGGAGAUCGGAAUUCCUGGUGUAGCGGUGAAUGCGCAGAUAUCAGGAGGAACACCGGUGGCGAAGGCGGUCUCUGGCCGAUACUGACGCUGAGGAGCGAAAGCGUGGGGAGCGAACAGG
rnacentral:rRNA from 1 species